rnacentral:rRNA from 1 species
GAGAGUUAAACAGUACGUGAAAUUGUUGAAAGGGAAACGAUUGAAGCCAGUCGUACCUUCGGGUAAUCAGCCUUUCGGGUGCGAUUAUGUGGAGUGUGAGGAGCUUAAACACCUUCAUGUUUUGCAUAUUCGUACUCUUGGGUGUACUUGCCCGUGUGGUUGGUUAACAUCAAUUUUGGUGGUCAUAAAAUGACUGGAGGAAUGUAGCUUCGAUCUCGUAUUGAAGUGUUAUAGCCUUCGGUAGAUGUGAUGAUCGAGAUUGAGGAUUGCAACGGAUACCCUUCGGGGCUACCUGUCUGAUCUCUGAUCGUUGUUCUGGUGCCGAAAGCUUGCUUAUGAUGUUAGGGUAUUACGGUCAAAAGGUUAGAACGGAUUAAAUUCGUUAAGGAUGUUGACGUAAUGACUUUAAACGA